rnacentral:rRNA from 1 species
UAGUGGCGAACGGGUGAGUAACACGUGGGCAAUCUGCCCUUCACUCUGGGACAAGCCCUGGAAACGGGGUCUAAUACCGGAUAUCACUCCUGCAGUGCAUCUGCGGGGGUUGAAAGCUCCGGCGGUGAAGGAUGAGCCCGCGGCCUAUCAGCUUGUUGGUGAGGUAAUGGCUCACCAAGGCGACGACGGGUAGCCGGCCUGAGAGGGCGACCGGCCACACUGGGACUGAGACACGGCCCAGACUCCUACGGGAGGCAGCAGUGGGGAAUAUUGCACAAUGGGCGAAAGCCUGAUGCAGCGACGCCGCGUGAGGGAUGACGGCCUUCGGGNUGUAAACCUCUUUCAGCAGGGAAGAAGCGAAAGUGACGGUACCUGCAGAAGAAGCGCCGGCUAACUACGUGCCAGCAGCCGCGGUAAUACGUAGGGCGCAAGCGUUGNCCGGAAUUAUUGGGCGUANAGAGCUCGUAGGCGGCUUGUCACGUCGGGUGUGAAAGCCCGGGGCUUAACCCCGGNUCUGCAUUCGAUACGGGCUAGCUAGAGUGUGGAAGGGGAGAUCGGAAUUNCU